AUGAUACAUCUCGAGUUGUUGGCCAUGGCUUCUGGUUCCAUGCCGAGGCUCCUCAUCGCCUUCAUCCUCAUCUCUUGUGUUGUCCACCGCGGGCGGGCGAUCAGCACGAUCCUGCCAGCGGUGCAGUACAUCAAGUGCGGCUCCCAAAAGUACGAGCUGGGCAGCGGCUACGAUGACAACGUUCGCUGGCUUCUCCCCAACCUUACGGAGUCCGUCAUCAAGGACGGCGCCAUUUCCGUCUUGGCUGGUGUCGGCAACAGGGCCAGCGACAGCGACCCUGAUGAUAGGGUGGGUUGCGUGGCCAUGUGCUACGCGGACCACGGCCGGGAAGAGUGCGCGCAGUGCCUCAGGUACGUCGCCGGCCGGUUCCUCCAAGGGAAGGACUGCCCCAACGCCAGGAACGCGUCCGCCUUCUACGACGCCUGCCAGGUAUGGUACUACCAGCUCCCCCCGGUGGUGGGCAUCGGCUACUCAUUCAUGGCGGUCACCAGAAAUUUGGGGCUUGACCUCACCGGCAGCCAAGAUGUGGUGAGCUUCCGGACGAAGCGGAGAUUGCUUCUGCAAGAUCUAUCUAGCCGGGCGAUUGCGUCCAAGCAGUACGCCGCGGCCAGCAGCACCAUGUACAGCUACGGCAGCGAUGCCGCAAGCAUCUACGGGCUUGUCCAGUGCCAGAGGUUCCUGUCCGGAGAUAACUGCAACUCCUGCCUCAACGGAUUCAUACGACGCAUUGAUUGUGAUAAUAAGACCGUAGGCGCCAUCAAAGGUUAUUAUUGCUACAUCAGAUACGGGACGGAGCAGUUCGUCGACUACGUCAAUGAAUACAUGACAACGUCGUCGCCCAAACACGCUUGGGCGACAGCACCCGCCAUGGCACCAGCGCUGGCGCCGGCGCCACCACCCCACAAACACAAAGGGAGGGCAACGAUGAUAGGAGUUAUCAUAGGUAUUUGCAGCGGCAGCAUCGUCUUGGUGAGCGGGAUUGUGCUUCUUCUCAGGUACCUCUUCCGUGGGAGGUUGUCCCGUGUGCCUUCCAGGCAAAGCAUACAACUUGGCAGCUCCGCGCCAAUGCAGUUUUCAGCCAGCCAGCUCAGGGACGCGACUAACAACUUCACUGACCCUCUAGGCAGCGGUGCAUUCGGUACCGUGUACAAGGGUACAAUGGGAGGGAAGGAGGUUGCGGUAAAGAAGCUUCAUAGCAAGGAUGGUGUCGUAGGGGCGGCCUUCACUAGCGAAGCCCACAUGCUCAUGGCGUUCAAGCAUAAGAAUCUUGUGAAGCUGCUGGGGUACUGCGACACAGGCGACGACAGGUUGCUCUGCUUCGAGUAUCUCAGUGGCGGAAGCAUCGAUAAGUUUAUCUAUAAGGGAAGUGGGUACGUGCUAGAUUGGAGCGGACGCUACAAGAUUGUGCAAGGAAUAUGUUCAGGCCUGCACUACCUACACCACGAACUAGACCAUGAGCAGAACAUCGUUCACCUGGAUUUGAAAGCGAGCAACGUACUGGUCAGCCGCGGCGAUGGGGGAGACAUCACCUGUGUGAAGAUCGCCGACUUUGGCCUCUCAAAGUUCUUCAAAGCGGAUCUAACACACUCGUACACGGAGCAGGUCGUUGGUCUAUUGGCGUACAUGGCACCGGAAUACGUCUGCAAGGGCAGAAUUUCACCCAAGGCCGAUAUAUACAGCUUUGGCAUUCUUAUUCUGGAGAUAGUCACUGGGCGAUGCGCCAAGGUGGGCGAUUCUUCGGGCGACUUCAUCACCUGGGUUCAUGAGGAGUGGAGAGGAGACGUCCGAGCUCUCAUGGAUGUUGAUGGCCUGCCGGGCGACUCUAUCACACAAGCCCGCAACUGCAUCGAGAUAGCGCUGGACUGCAUCCAGGAAGACCCCAACAGCAGGCCGGACGCGGCAAUGAUAAGGCAGAGGCUCUCGCAUGUAUGA
rnacentral:rRNA from 1 species